UCAUAAUUCACAUCAUCAGUUCCUUCCGUGCAGCUCGCUGCCCCACCUGACAUUGAAGAAUUCACAUAUACAAAAGUGAGUGCAUCUACAAAUUCAAUUGACACAGGUAAACCACCUGCUAACUGGGAGAAAGUCCUUGAAGGGAUCCGCAAAAUGAGGUCUUCUGAAGAUGCACCAGUAGACAGUAUGGGUUGUGAGAAAGCUGGAAGUGCUCUUCCUCCUAAGG